rnacentral:rRNA from 1 species
UAAGCAUAUCAAUAAGCGGAGGAAAAGAAACCAACAGGGAUUGCCUUAGUAACGGCGAGUGAAGCGGCAACAGCUCAAAUUUGAAAGCUGGCCCCCUCGGGGUCCGCGUUGUAAUUUGUAGAGGAUGAUUCGGCGACGGCUCCUGCCUAAGUCCCUUGGAACAGGGCGUCAUAGAGGGUGAGAAUCCCGUAUGUGGUGGGCUGCCUUAGCCAUGUGAAUCUCCUUCGACGAGUCGAGUUGUUUGGGAAUGCAGCUCUAAAUGGGAGGUAAAUUUCUUCUAAAGCUAAAUACCGGCCAGAGACCGAUAGCGCACAAGUAGAGUGAUCGAAAGAUGAAAAGCACUUUGGAAAGAGAGUUAAAAAGUACGUGAAAUUGUUGAAAGGGAAGCGCUUGCAGCCAGACUUGUCCGCAGUUGCUCAGCUUGUCUCCUGACAGGCGUACUCUUCUGCGGCCAGGCCAGCAUCAGUUCGGGCGGUCGGAUAAAGACCUGGGGAAUGUAGCUCCUCUCGGGGAGUGUUAUAGCCCUGGGUGCAAUGCGGCCAGCCUGGACUGAGGAUCUCGCUUCGGCUAGGAUGCUGGCGUAAUGGCUGUAAGCG